AGACGGUAAAUAUGGAGGAGGAGAAGCGGUAGGAGGUGAGACGCGUCCCGCUUGUUAAACUACGCGUUUUCGUGUGAAUUAGAAGCGCAAAGGAGCUCCACGGAGGGACACACCGUGCCUCGGCGGAAACCAAAGCCGGGAGGAAGCGACCUCUGCGCUAAUACACAUUCCAAGAGGAGCCGCCGACAUCCACGAAAGACGUCGAGAAGAAGGUCUGAAUCAUACGUCUGUCCUUCUACACAUGGCCGACUCAGAGGACCCGCUAUAACCCACACACACGUACACACACACAGUGGAAGGGCAGGGGAAAGAAGUCCAGGUUCAGCCUUCAUGAAUUCAUCACACCCCUCAGUAGUGGAGGUGAAGAGCAGCCUCCCAUCAGGCAUGCAGAGCCCAGUAGGAACAGCAAGCGAGCAGAGAGGAGGAGGAGGAAGUGGUGGAG
rnacentral:lncRNA from 1 species